rnacentral:tRNA from 2 species
GCGCCUGUAGCUCAAUUGGAUAGAGCGUUGGAUUCCGGUUCCAAAGGUUGGGGGUUCGAUUCCCUCCAGGCGUACAA